rnacentral:rRNA from 1 species
UGAGGAAUCUUGCGCAAUGGGGGAAACCCUGACGCAGCAACGCCGCGUGAGUGAGGAAGGCCUUCGGGUCGUAAAGCUCUGUCAGAUGGGAAGAAAUGGGUGGGGGCUAAUAUCGUCCAUCCUUGACGGUACCAUCAGAGGAAGCACCGGCUAACUCCGUGCCAGCAGCCGCGGUAAUACGGGGGGUGCAAGCGUUGUUCGGAAUCAUUGGGCGUAAAGCGCGCGCAGGCGGCUUGGUAAGUCAGAUGUGAAAUCCCUGGGCUUAACCCAGGAAGUGCAUUUGAUACUGCCUCGCUAGAGUACGGGAGAGGAAAGUGGAAUUCCUGGUGUAGGAGUGAAAUCCGUAGAUAUCAGGAGGAACACCGGUGGCGAAGGCGGCUUGCUGGGCUGCAACUGACGCUGAAGCACGAAAGUGUGGGGAGCAAACA